ACAGCAUAAUGAUAUCAAGCCUCUUUAUCAAUGGCAUAUUUUCUAAUAUUCCUAAUCUUCAAGCGCAUUGCAUCCAUCUUCAACCGCAUCACAUCGAUCUUCAUCUUGCGAUCGUCAAUGACCUCGGCAACAUGCAACUCCAUUUCCAUAUUCUUAUCUUCAAUUAUUUUCAAUUUUUCCUUCAAGUAUUUGUUUUCUUUUUCAACCAAAGUUAACUUCUCGAGAAGCAUUUCU
rnacentral:lncRNA from 1 species